GGGGAUAUAGCUCAGUGGUAGAGCAUUCGACUGCAGAUCGAGAGGUCCCUGGUUCGAACCCGCGUGUCUCCU
rnacentral:tRNA from 1 species